rnacentral:lncRNA from 1 species
AACUAUGUGGUUGCUGGGAAUUGAAUUCAAGACCUCUGGAAGAGCAGUCAGUGCUCUUAAACUCUCCUCUUUGAUCUUUUGUUGUUGUUGUUGUUUUGUUUUGUUUUUGUUUUUAAUAGCAAGCUUCAAAUCAAAGUUUAAUUCACACAAUAAAAAUUCACUUUUCAAACCAGGUAGGGGAAAACUCAAAUUUUAGAGGAGGAAAAAAAAUGAGCGCUUAUACAACCAUUCACAUGGUUGCUGAGAUCCAGUGGUCAAUAAAGUCAUCUGUAUAGGAAAUGGUAGAAAGCAGGGAUGGUUCCUGUGAGAGCUUCAAGCUUCAUCUACAGGAAGACAGCACUCAGUGGGAGUAUUUGAAUAGGUUCUGCCCUCAGUUGCUGACCAUCACUGGUGUCCCAAAUUAAGGAUCUAAAGUGGUGGCUCUCACCCGUCCUAGUGCAGUUCCUCAUGUUGUGGUGACCCUCCGCCAUACAAUUAUUUUUGUUACUACUUCAUAACUGUAACUUUGCUACUGUUGUGAAUCAUAAUAUAAAUAUCAGUGCUUUCUAAUGGUCUCAACAACCUCUGUGAAAGAGUUGUUUAACCCCAAGGGAUUAUGACCACAGGUUGAGACUGGCUAUAGGGAACAACUUAACUCUCAAGAGUUAGUGAAUCCUACUCUGUUCUAAGGUGGAAUCAGAAAGUCUGGAAUUACGAGCGAAGAGGUCUUGACAGUAAUAACCAUAGCAUAUGUGGAAAAACCAACAAAUAAACAACCUUUAUUUGACAGAUGUAGAAAAUGAGAAAUUCUUUCCUUGUAAACUGAUGUUCUUAGCACGUUAUUAACCCAGUUAAGUGCUGGCAGUGAAUAGUGAUAGCUGCAGCUAUUUUUAAAUACUGAGCGCCUAGUUUUCUCCAUAACCAUAAAGUUGCAAAAAUAUUGCUUUUCAUUCCUGUGAAACAGAAGAGUUAAUGGCCAAGAAUUCGUGUACAAAGCACCAGUACCUGAGUAGGAAUGUUUAAAUCUUCAUAACAUUUACUGCGCAUGAAGCUGCAGUCUUUCCCCUGUGUGGUUAACUUGAGUCUCUGGGGACAUUGCUUUCUCUACUUCCCUGCAUUAUGUGGUGGAAAUGAUACCUGGAAGCAAAACCGAACCAGAAGACAAAAGACACAUUUGGGUUUAACUAGAUAGAGAAGUGUUUAGAUUAAGGAGGUAGCAGGUCCUGUCCUCAUUUGGAGGGUGCCGACUGGGCUGAGAACAGGUAGAAAUGGCUGCCAUUGGACAGGGGAGGGCUUCAGACUUUGGGGGUCAUGAAGGAUAACAGAGAGGCUGAGAGGAGUAUGAGCUGGGCUAAGUGGUUGGAGGAGAUAGUAAGAAAGGAAUGGUUGUCUUCCCUCAGGCUGCUAUGGAAGGGCAAGUGGUGGGGGGAAGUAAAGAUGGCAGAAAUGAGGAAGGAAUGGUUGGUUACACUCUGAUCUCUGCCUUAGCCCUGGCUGCUUACAGUGUAACCAGGACCAAGUGACUUCCAACUUGUACCCGUAUUGUCAUACUCGAGAAAGGAAGGAGAGGCCAGGAGAGGGGGAAGGAGGGAGAGAAGAAUGGAAACAGAGAUGGGAAGAGGCAGUUUACCCAGCAAGACCUAAAGCACCAACUAAAAGGAAACAAGUGGCCAUCAUUCUUGGAGCACAUCUAGGAUUAAAAAGAGUGUUUGUUUGUUUGUUGUAUGUUUUAAGAGCUUUGGGUCCAGAAUGAUGGAGCACACAUUUAAUCCCACCACUUGGGACUCAGAGGGAAGCAGGUCUCUGUCAGGAGCCAUCAUAGGAGGAGCUAAUAGAGAGCAGGUGAUCUUCCUGAGACGAAUCUGCCUUGGAUUAAAAAUCCAUAACAGAUUUGCUCUAAUAGGCAAGGCCCCCAAGAAAUUCAUUUUAAGAAAGAUUCCUGCUAUUAAUGUGCUUUUCCUGUUAUUAUUAAAUAUAUAACCAUCACUAGGAACUAGCCCACAGUUUUGAGAAGAUCUCUGCAGAACAAUGAAGAUGUACUAUCUUGUAGUACUAUACAGACAAAUAGAUAAUAAUUCUAUAGGAAUCCUGAUUUGAUUCAAGUAAUUUUAGGAAGAAAGUCUUUAGAGAUGGUCUUAGUUGCUAGAAAGAUGUAAUAAAGUUAGAAUCAAGAAUAGAAUGUGCCCACUUCUCAGAAUAGUAAAUGCUGCAUAAUAAGAAAUACAAUUAGCUUUCAUAAAUAAUAUAAGAAAAUAAUAAUAAGAAUAAUAAGAGAAAUAGACUUAGGACAAUUUUGUAUCCAAGGAAAAACACUUAGACCCAAGGAUAAAGUCACCGGUGUGCACUAUGAUAAGGUAAGGCCAUAUAAAAAUGGUUGCUUUGAACUUUUAAUGAGUAUACUAUGAUGAAACACUGCUUUGAACUUAAUAUCAGCAUCGUUCUGUAACUCCCAUUUUAUGUAACAUUUUACCUCUGAGGUUAUUUUCUUUUUUCUUUUUAUUCUUUUCUUUUUAAAGAUGUCUUUAUUUAAAUGAGUACACUGUAGCUGUCUUCAGAUAUAUCAGAAGAUGACAUUGGAUACCAUUACAGAUGGUCAUGAGCCACCAUGUGGUUGCUGGGAUUUGAACUCAGGAGCUCUGGAAGAGCAGUCAGUGCUCUUAACUACUGAGCUCAUGAGGUUAUUUUCUAAAGGACGUUUUGUCUUAGAAGAUAUUAAAAAAAAAAAAAAACCAAAAACCCAGAGAAAAGAAAUAAAGUUGGUGAUUGGUUGAAUGGUUUGGUUUGGGGAGCUUUGCCCUAUCCAUCCAUCCAUCCAAACGUGUAUGUUUGGAUGUAGGGUAUAUAUUUAUGUGUGUAAGCAUGUGUGAAUACUAUGGAGUUGAUUGUGACAGACAGUCGUGUCUGGCCAGUGUGGAUGUAUGAGUGUUUGAAUGCCUAUGUGUCUGUGCAUAUUUUCCUGUAUACAACAUCUUAAUUCUUUUCCUUUCCUUCCUCUCCGGUUCACAAAGAGUUAACCAGCUUAUCCAGAGAGGCUUCUGGCUAAUUCACCAGACAAAGGAGCAGCAGCAGUAAAUCCUUUCACUUCAUCCCCUGCUGUUUUAUGAUGAGGUGCUAAAUAGCUUCUGGCCUCUGAGGAACUCAGACUGGCUGGUCAGCUGCCUCAGCAAAGUCACUUAGACUUAAGGCAGGUAAAUAUUUUAUUAUUAUGCAGCAACCCGAAAAUCUCAUAAUUCCCACUGAUGCUCUUCUUCUUCUGCUGCCUCAAGAAGACCCAAGAACAAGCAAGAACAACAGCUGGGGCUGUCCCGCCCCACCCCCCAGGGCUCUGUGAGUUCAAGGUUGACGCGGUCUGGUAGGGAGUUCCAGGCCAGCCAAGGCUGCAUAGCAAGACUGUCUCAAAUAAACAAAAGAGAAGUUUAUUGAAAAAUAAGUACAGAAGCCGGGCGUGGCGGCACACGCCUUUAAUCCCAGCACUUGGGAGGCAGAGGCAGGUGUAUUUCUGAGUUCGAGGCCAGCCUGGUCUACAGAGUGAGUUCCAGGACAGCCAGGGCUACACAGAGAAACCCUGUCUCGAAAAACCAAAAAAAUAAAAAUAAUAAUAAAAAUAAGUACAAAGGAAAAAAUAAACACCUUUUUUUUUUUUUUAGGUAAUAAUCUUCAGUAGCCAAGAUGUCUUCAGCACCUGAUCCUCCAACAGUU